rnacentral:rRNA from 1 species
AUUGAACGCUGGCGGCGGGCCUAACACAUGCAAGUCGAGCGGGAGGCGGACGGGUGGGUAAUGGAUGGGGACUGCCUGAUCGAGGGGGAUAACUACGGGAAACGGUGGCUAAUGCCGCAUACUAUCGGAUAGCCGAGAUGGGAUUAGCUAGUCGGGGUGGUAAAGGCUCACCUAGGCGACGAGCUCUAGCUGGUCUGAGAGGAGGAUCAGCCACACUGGGACUGAGACACGGCCCAGACUCCUACGGAGGCAGCAGGGGGGAAUAUUCGGCAAUGGGCGAAAGCCUGAUACAGCCAGGCCGCGUGUAUGAAGAAGGCUUUCGGGUUGUAAAGUACUGUUAGCGGGGAGGCGUUAUCUGAAGAAAAAGCACCGGCUAACUCCGUGCCAGCAGCCGCGGUAAUUC